AUUGAACGCUGGCGGAAUGCUUUACACAUGCAAGUCGAGCGGCAGCGCGGGGGCAACCCUGGCGGCGAGCGGCGAACGGGUGAGUAACACAUCGGAACGUACCCAGUUGUGGGGGAUAGCCCGGCGAAAGCCGGAUUAAUACCGCAUACGACCUGAGGGUGAAAGUGGGGGAUCGCAAGACCUCACGCAGUUGGAGCGGCCGAUGGCGGAUUAGCUAGUUGGUGAGGUAAAGGCUCACCAAGGCGACGAUCCGUAGCUGGUCUGAGAGGACGACCAGCCACACUGGAACUGAGACACGGUCCAGACUCCUACGGGAGGCAGCAGUGGGGAAUUUUGGACAAUGGGGGCAACCCUGAUCCAGCCAUUCCGCGUGAGUGAAGAAGGCCUUCGGGUUGUAAAGCUCUUUCGGCAGGAACGAAACGGUGGAGGCUAAUACCUUUCAUCAAUGACGGUACCUGAAGAAGAAGCACCGGCUAACUACGUG
rnacentral:rRNA from 1 species